rnacentral:piRNA from 1 species
UGGCAUCUGAAGAAUCAGAAGGAC